rnacentral:rRNA from 1 species
GUCUACGGCCACGCCACCCUGAACGAGCUCUAUGUCUGAUCUCGGAAGCUAAGCAAGGUCAGGCCUGGUUAGUACUUAGAUGGGAAACCACCUAGGAAGACCAGGUGCUGUAGGCA